AAAGAGGGAAGAGGUGGUUGUGGAUUGGGAAGAAGGUGGCACACUUUAUCCAAGACCUGAUGAUUCUGGGAUGAUUGCUGCAGAAGUGGUCUGGCUUUCCAGGCUGAUUACUGCAGCGAGUUCUAUGGUCAUAUAUGGUCUGGCCACAGUCCUUUUGUGUAUUCAGUCUCUUAGAGGGAAAGAACUGCUGGAAUAGGAUGGGAAUGGACACAUACACACUUUAUCCAGCUCCCCAUCCCUCCCUGAGGUCAGUGGUGCUGCCUGUGAAGAUAAGGCUGGAGGACUGUGCUCCAAUUCAUUGCUUAUCUACUGCACCCACUAAAGUUGUUUUCUUUAAGGCCUAGCUUAAAGCCCAGCUCCUAUUGGAAGUUUUCUUUGAAUAGAUCCCUCUCAGUUAUUAGCCUUCCUAAUUCUCGUGGCUUAAUUCAGAUUCUUCAGAGCAAAUUCUCAUCUUCCUGCCUGUGUUUUGAAAACUUACAUUGAAUAUCUUCCUUUCACUUACUCAAUGCUGUUUCUUUAAAAACAGCAACAAAACCAAAAUACCCCUUCAACCCCACAGCUUUUUAUUGAACCAAAAAGAAAAUAGAGUAUUUAUGAUAAAGUGAUGUGUCUUGGAUUUACUUCAAAAUAAUCCACGCAGGCAUAGAAGGGGUGAGGGCAAAGAUGAAACAAGAAAGACUAUGAAUUGAAUAUUGUUGAAGUUGCAUGAUAGGAAGUAAAUGUUCAUGAUGUCUGACUUUUGUACAGUUUUGAUGUUUUCCAGAAUAAAAUCUUAAGUGUUAA
rnacentral:lncRNA from 1 species